AAUGAACGCUGGCGGCGCGCCUAAUACAUGCAAGUCGAGCGAGAAGACGUAGCAAUACGUUUGUAAAGCGGCGAACGGGUGAGGAAUACAUGGGUAACCUACCCUAGAGUGGGGAAUAACUAGCCGAAAGGUUAGCUAAUACCGCGUACGCUCCUUGGACUUCGGUUCAGGGAGGAAAGCGAUGCCGAGGGUAUCGCGCUCUUGGAUGGGCUCAAGUCCUAUCAGCUUGUUGGUGAGGUAACGGCUCACCAAGGCUUCGACGGGUAGCUGGUCUGAGAGGACGAUCAGCCACACUGGCACUGCGACACGGGCCAGACUCCUACGGGAGGCAGCAGUAAGGAAUAUUGCGCAAUGGGCGAAAGCCUGACGCAGCGACGCCGCGUGGGGGAGUGAAGGU
rnacentral:rRNA from 1 species